rnacentral:rRNA from 1 species
AGUAAUACAUAAGUAACCUGCCCUAGACAGGGGGAUAACUAUUGGAAACGAUAGCUAAGACCGCAUAGGUACGGACACUGCAUGGUGACCGUAUUAAAAGUGCCUCAAAGCACUGGUAGAGGAUGGACUUAUGGCGCAUUAGCUGGUUGCGGGGUAACGGCCCACCAAGGCGACGAUGCGUAGCCGACCUGAGAGGGUGACCGGCCACACUGGGACUGAGACACGGCCCAG